UUCCUGUUGCCUAGAGAAGGGAGGGAUUAAGUGACUUGGCCAAGGUUACAUGUAGCCAUUAUUGCAUCAAACACAGAGCUUGAACCCAGGUCCUUUUGCCUCUAAGGCCAGCUCUCUAGUCACUCUGCCCCUCACUGCCUCUAUACAUCCAGAAGAAUCCUCUCAGUGGCAGUUCUUGUCCUUGUUUGAGGAAAGCUACCAGGGAGCUGGUUUAGUCAGACCAUGACAAAGCAUGUCCUGAAGUGACAGCUGAAUGUCUGAGGGCACACCAGAGUGUCUGAAGGCACCAUGGCUGCCACGGGCCCAGUUUUAUCCUUUGUGGAAACACGUCUCCAGAAAAGCAUCGUCCAGAGCCUCAGAGUUCCAGGGCUGGUGUUGGGUGUUUCGUGGGACAGAGAGCUUAGACAUGACCUGAUUGGGAGUAUCCUGCUCAUUACUGAACAUGACAGUUUAAGAAGAACAUCUGUAAGCUGGAGAAUGACCUUAAGGGGGCAGAAGGAGUGAAGUGCACAUCUCAAGCCAAGCUUCCUCUUUUGCCCACGCGAGUGCUGAUGUCACUUCUUGCAUGGAGGUUACAAUGGAGCAGAUAAUAUUCCUUCCCGGUGCCAUCCGUGAACCUCAUCAUUGUCCUUGGUCUGCCCACACCUGUAAUUCCUCAGAGAGGAGUCUGUUCUGAGAUCCACAACUGGACGGCCCUGCCCAAGAGUAGCCAUCGCAGCAGAAUCUCCCUGUUUUAUGCCACCCUUGAUGCUAAUAAUAUAGGAUCAGUGAACAGUUAUCAAGAAAUGGCAUAUCGUGCUCCCAUGCAUGAGAGCAUCCAUGUUAGAAGAGGAGGACUGAGAUCAUAUUUUAUUCUGUUGAGCCUUUUUAUGGGAAUCAAACAACAACGAUUGGCAGAAUAUAGCAUUCUCUGUCCCUUUCACCCUGUUGUGUGACUAGAAAGAUAGGAUUAUCUAUAGAAUAUCCUUUCAAAACCUUUGCCAUUUCCCUCUCUUAAGUUCUUUGAGGGUAUCCACAAUAUACACUUAGCAUGUUGUCAUAAAGAUUUGAUAAAGGUGAGAAAAUAGACACACGGGUGGGUAGAUAUUAUAUGCUCCUCAUUUCAUUUCUUGGAUAAAGGCCAAGGAUUCCCCAGAGUGAUGCUAUGUGGUGUAACAGAUAGAAUACUCAACUUGGAGUCAGAGAGAACUGAAUUUGAAUCUCAUGUCAUAUAUGAAGUUUGAC
rnacentral:lncRNA from 1 species